UACGGAGGGAGCUAGCGUUGUUCGGAAUUACUGGGCGUAAAGCGCACGUAGGCGGCUUUGUAAGUUAGAGGUGAAAGCCCGGGGCUCAACCCCGGAAUUGCCUUAAGACUGCAUCGCUUGAAUCCGGGAGAGGUGAGUGGAAUUCCGAGUGUAGAGGUGAAAUCGUAGAUAUUCGGAAGAACACCAGUGGCGAAGGCGGCACACUGGACCGGUAUUGACGCUGAGGUGACGAAAGCGUGGG
rnacentral:rRNA from 1 species